rnacentral:rRNA from 1 species
UACGGGGGGAGCAAGCGUUGUUCGGAAUUACUGGGCGUAAAGCGCACGUAGGCGGCUUUGUAAGUUAGAGGUGAAAGCCCGGGGCUCAACUCCGGAAUUGCCUUUAAGACUGCAUCGCUAGAAUUGUGGAGAGGUAAGUGGAAUUCCGAGUGUAGAGGUGAAAUUCGUAGAUAUUCGGUGGAACACCAGUGGCGAAGGCGACUCGCUGGACUGAUACUGACGCUGAGGUGCGAAAGCGUGGGGAGCAAACAGG